rnacentral:lncRNA from 1 species
AUAUACAAAGGGAACCCCAUUAGGCUAACAGCAGAUCUCUCAGCUGAAAUCCUACAAGCCAGAAGGGAUUUGGGGACUAUAUUUAACAUUAUGAAAGAAAAUCUCCAACCAAGUAUUUCAUAUCCAGCUAAACUAAGCUUCCUAAGUGAAGGAGAAAUGAGAUCAUUUACAGACAAGCAAAUUCUGAGCACUCCUCACAAUAGCAAAGACAUGGAAUCAACCCAAAUUUCCAUCAAUGAUAGAUUGGAUAAAGAAAAUGUGAUACAUAUACACCAUGGAAUACUAUGCAGCCAUAAAAAGGAAUGAGAUCAUGUCUUUUGCAGGGACAUGGAUGACGCUGGAAGCCAUAAACUUCAGCUAAUUAACACAGGAACAGGAAACCAAACACCACAUGUUCUCAUAAGUGGGAACCGAACAAUGAGAACACAUGGACACAGGGAGGGGAAGAACACACACUGGAGCCUUUUGGGAAGUUUCUCCACAGACACUACCCAAAGCAGUCCUUCACUACAGUGGCAGACAGACCUGAAAAUUUUCAUCUGAAGCAGCAGAGUGAACUGCAGAGUCAGGUCACCAACCAGUGUGGAGGCUAACAGCAGGCCUCUUUGGGGAUUCCAGGUGGAAGUGUUGGACAUCUGUAGUAUUCCUGGUCUCGAAUCAUCCUGAUAUUCUUCAUUUUGUUAUUCACAUUGGACUAGG